CGGAGCGUAGCGAAGUGGUAUCGCGCCUCGUUCGGGACGAGGAGAUCGCUGGUUCGAUCCCAGUCGCUCCGA
rnacentral:tRNA from 2 species